rnacentral:lncRNA from 10 species
UUGCUAUGUCUGAAUGUUUUAGGCUAAAGCUGCAGUGUGCAGGGAAGGAAACCACGGCUAACCAUUUGAUCAUAUCUGAGGGAACUCUUCGUGGGCCUUGAAGGAAAGGUGGAAUUUGCACUUGUAUGAAUGGGAUUGGAGGCAGUGGGGCACAGAGAACAUUCCAAGCUGAGAAGGCAAGGUCAGGAAAGGAAGCCGCGUGGGAGGAGCAGAGUGUGGAGCACAGAGUCUGCCAUCAACAGAAGAGACAGGAACACAGGUUGAAGCAACUGAUGGGGCCUGAAUUAGGACUCUUUCAACAUUUCAGUUCCAUCUUAAGAUUGCUAAAGAACGCUCUGGAACAUAAGCCAGGAUUUGCCAGCAUCUCCACCUGCCUCUGACUCACCAUUUUACCUCCACAUUCUUGCCCUCCCAACCUUGAUGUCCCUCCUCCCCACCUGCCUCACCCUCCUCCCCCAGCUGAGCGAGGAUCAACAGACCUGGUUCCCCGCCACUGCUCCAUUGAGCUUGAUCUGGAAAAUGAGGACUCACAGUCCUGCUUAGGACACAUAGUGGGGGAGGUUGGGCUCGGUGGAGCCAGACAGCAUACUCAGUCAUUUUAACAACUUGUUAUUUUUGAGGCCCCAAGCUCCAGAAAUGAAUUUGGAAAGAAAAUGAAAAAAAUAACAAGACAGAUAGCAGGAAUUCAAACUCCACUAACAAAGGCCAUCAGCUGAAACCAAUUUGGACAGCUCAGCUCAGUCUCGGCUCAUGAACUUCGCUUUACCUCAGAAAAGCCCUUCAGCACAGCACACGUGCACACACAUGCUCACUCACUCUUACAAAAGGCAGGACUGGGUUUCAGAGCUAUGCAGCAAGACAGAAGCAAAAGAAGCUUGCUUCCUUUUAUUUAAGUGAUAAUCUCUGUGGUUUUGACUUCAGUAACUGUGAUAUUGUGAUUUAUAAGAAGAAAUAACAUAUUUUGGUCUUCUUCCAGUUUCAGGGCACAGAACUCCUAAAACCUUUGGAAUUUCCCAAGUUAUAAGUACCCUUUUGUAUGCUAGCGAGAUGAUCCCUGGCUGGGGACUAAUGGAGAGCCUCAAGAUGCCAGGAGAAACAACCAUGUGAUUAGAGGGUUAGAACUUUCAGCACCCCCACACCACCCUCCUUCAGGAAGGGGAGAGAGACUGUAGGUUGAGUUGAUCUCCAAUGGCCAGUGAUUUAAUCACUCAUGCCUACAUAAUGAAGCCUUCAUAGCAACCAUAAGAAUAGAAUUCAGAGAGCUUCCAGGUUGCUAGUACACCCAGAGAGGGCAUGGAAGCUCCAAGACACCUUACUCAUAUCUUGUCUUAUGCAUCUCUUCCUUUAUACAUAUUUUACACAUUUUUUAACUUUUUAUUAUUUUUUAAAUAGAAACAGGGUCUUGCUAUGUUGCCCAGACUGGUCUUAAACUUCUGGCCUCAAAUGAUCCUCCUGCCUCAGCCUCCCAAAGUGCUGGGGUUACAGAUGUGUGCCACCACGCCAUCUCUUCCACCCGGCCAUUCAUCUGUAUCUUUUGUGAUGUAUUCUAUAAUAAGCCAGGAAACAUAAAUGAAACACUUUCCUGAGUUCUGUGAGCUGCUCUAACAAAUGAUUGAAUCUGAGGAGGGGGUCAUGGGAACUCCCAAUUUGUACCCAGUCAUUAGAAGCACGAGUCACAAUCUGGGAUUUUCAACUGGCAUCGGAAAUAGGAGGUUGUCUUGUGGGACUGAGCCCUAACCUGUGGGAUCUGACUCUAGGUUAGAGUAUCAGAAUUGAACUGAAUUCAGGACACCCAGUUGGUGUCUGCUGGAGAAUUGGUUGUUGCGGAAAUCCCCUGACACAUUUUUGUGACCUAAUGUGAAGUUUGCUGUGUUGAGUGUUGAGAGUAUAGUAGAAGAAAACAGCCAGUUAGUUUGCUUUCCUACUACUAUCCAGGUAUCUUAAAACAUAGUAUGUCAAAUACGGAACUGUUUAUUUUCAGCCACACCCUCCCCAACAAAAUCCUUUUCCUCCUCCAGGCUGUCAUGUCAUUUAUUGGCACCACCUUCAACACAACUACUCAAGCCCAGUUGCUGAGCAUCAUCUGGAAUCCUUUCACCUUCCCAUGCACAAUCCUUGAGAUCCGGAGAUGCUACCUCCAAAAGGCAACCAAAAAAUCUAACGACGACUCACUAUCUUCCCAUCUACUGUCCAGUUGUGUAUAUAUGCGUCUAUGGACCAGGUAGUGUGUCAAAGGUAUUUCUUAGCUGUAGGGUUGCAGCAAAAAAGUUUGGAAGCUAUUCAUUGCCCAUUAGGCAAUUAAAGAGUAAAGAUGUGGCCCCUGCCUACAUCUUUAAUCUCAUCUUCUGUCAUCUCCCCCUCUUUGCUCCUUUAGUCCCUGGAAAGUGGUAAGCUCUUUCCUGCCUUGGGGCCUUAGUAUUUGCUGUUAACUCUACCUGGAACAUUCUCCUUAUCUUUCCCAUGGCUGAUUCACUGCCAUCCUUCAAGUCUCAGUUUAAUGUCAUAUCCUCAGAGAGGCCCCCCAUCCAUAUUAUGUAAACCAUGUCUUCUUCCCAUCACUACACGCUAUGGUCUGAAAGUUUGCAUCUCCCCAAAAUUCAUAUAUUGAAACCUAAUCCCCAAUGCAAUAGGAUUAAGAGGCGGGACCUUUAGGAAAUAAUUAGGUCUUGAGGGUAAAGCCCUCAUGAAUGGGAUUAGUGCUUUUAUAUAAUAAAAGAGGCCUGAAGAAGCUUAUUAGCCCCUUCUGCCAUGUGAAGACUCAUAGAAAGUGCCAUCUAUGAGGAAGCAGGCCCUCACCAGACAUCAAUGCUGCUGCCUUGAUCUUGGGCUUCCCAGCCUCCAGAACUGUGAACAAUGAAUUUCUGUUGUUUAUAAGUUACCUAUCUAAGGUAUUUUGUUAUAACAGUCCAAAUGGACUAAGCCCUAAAGGACUUUUUCUAAUGAAUAGCUACAGGUUGAUUUACGAUCAGUUUUUUUAUGAGACUGUAAGCCUUCUGAGGUCAGUAAUGGUGUGUGUAUGUGACUGUACCCUGCAUCUGCAUCCUACUUUUACCUAACAAAAAGAGCCUCACAGAAAGCUUUGGCAAUUAAUGACAGCCUGUAGAGUUCUGUAUUCAUAGAAGCAGUAGGGGUACAUGCUGCAGUGGGUAGAAUUGUGUUCCCCAAAAAGAGAUGCUCAAGCCCUAACCCUGGUAUCUACGAAUGUGAUCUUAUUUGGAAAUAGGGUCUUUGCAGAUAUAAUUAGUUAAGAUCAGGUCAUACUAGAGUAGGAUGGGCCCUUAAUCCAAUAUGACUGGUGUCAUUAUAAGAAGAGGAAGAGAUACACAAGGGCACACACCAGGAGAAUGUCAUGUGACAAUGGAAGCAGAGAUUGGAGAGCUGUGUCUAUAAGCCAAGUAACAUCAAGGAUUGCUGGCAACACCAAAAGCUAAGAGAAAGGCGUGGAACGGACUCCCACCUUGAGCCUUCAGAGACAGCGUGGACCUACUGACACCUUGACUUCAGACUUCUAGCCAGAACUUUGAGAGAAUAAAUUUCUGUUUUUUAAGACCCCGUGUUUGUGGUACUUUGUUAUGGCUGCCCUAGUGUAUGCCAUUUGGGUAAAAUUAGAUAACAAAAUAUUUCUAAAAUGAAAUCUAGCUCUAAGGUUGGUGGAUUUUAUGCAGAGUAAUUAGUAAGGGUAUGAAGGUAAGCACAAUAAAGUAUUUGGGGGACCUGGAAAUGAUUUCUAAAGCACGUCUUAUUCCUCGAAGGUAAA